UACGUAGGUGGCAAGCGUUGUCCGGAAUUAUUGGGCGUAAAGGGCGCGCAGGUGGUUUCUUAAGUCUGAUGUGAAAGCCCACGGCUCAACCGUGGAGGGUCAUUGGAAACUGGGGAACUUGAGUGCAGGAGAGAAGAGUGGAAUUCCACGUGUAGCGGUGAAAUGCGUAGAGAUGUGGAGGAACACCAGUGGCGAAGGCGACUCUUUGGCCUGUAACUGACACUGAGGCGCGAAAGCGUGGGGAGCAAACAGG
rnacentral:rRNA from 1 species